rnacentral:rRNA from 1 species
CCUGACAGGGUACUCUGAGUGAUUUCCGCUAAGGAGAUCUUUUGGCACCUCUAAAAAUGGUGCAGAAUAAGGGGUGGGCAAGUCUGGUGUCAGCCGCCGCGGUA